GGUGAGUAACGCGUGAGAAUCUGCCCUCAGGAGGGGGAUAACGGCUGGAAACGGCCGCUAAUACCCCAUAUGCCGAGAGGUGAAACGAGUUUUCGCCUGAGGAUGAGCUCGCGUCUGAUUAGCUAGUUGGUGGGGUAAGAGCCUACCAAGGCAUCGACCAGUAGCUGGUCUGAGAGGAUGAUCAGCCACACUGGGACUGAGACACGGCCCAGACUCCUACGGGAGGCAGCAGUGGGGAAUUUUCCGCAAUGGGCGAAAGCCUGACGGAGCAACGCCGCGUGAGGGAUGAAGGCCUCUGGGCUGUAAACCUCUUUUCUCAAGGAAGAAGAUCUGACGGUACUUGAGGAAUAAGCCACGGCUAAUUCCGUGCCAGCAGCCGCGGUAAUACGGGAGUGGCAAGCGUUAUCCGGAAUUAUUGGGCGUAAAGCGUCCGCAGGCGGUCUUGAAAGUCUGUUGUUAAAGCGUGGAGCUUAACUCCAUUUCAGCAAUGGAAACUAGAAGACUAGAGUGUGGUAGGGGCAGAGGGAAUUCCCGGUGUAGCGGUGAAAUGCGUAGAUAUCGGGAAGAACACCAGUGGCGAAGGCGCUCUGCUGGGCCAUAACUGACGCUCAUGGACGAAAGCCAGGGGAGCGAAAGGGAUUAGAUACCCCUGUAGUCCUGGCCGUAAACGAUGAACACUAGGUGUCGGGGGAAUCGACCCCCUCGGUGUCGUAGCCAACGCGUUAAGUGUUCCGCCUGGGGAGUACGCACGCAAGUGUGAAACUCAAAGGAAUUGACGGGGGCCCGCACAAGCGGUGGAGUAUGUGGUUUAAUUCGAUGCAACGCGAAGAACCUUACCAGGGUUUGACAUCCUGCGAACCCCUUGGAAACGAGGGGGUGCCUUCGGGAGCGCAGAGACAGGUGGUGCAUGGCUGUCGUCAGCUCGUGUCGUGAGAUGUUGGGUUAAGUCCCGCAACGAGCGCAACCCACGUCUUUAGUUGCCAGCAUUCAGUUGGGCACUCUAGAGAGACCGCCGGUGAUAAACCGGAGGAAGGUGUGGAUGACGUCAAGUCAUCAUGCCCCUUACAUCCUGGGCUACACACGUACUACAAUGCUACGGACAAAGGGCAGCAAACUCGCGAGAGCUAGCAAAUCCCAUAAACCGUGGCUCAGUUCAGAUCGUAGGCUGCAACUCGCCUACGUGAAGGAGGAAUCGCUAGUAAUCGCAGGUCAGCAUACUGCGGUGAAUACGUUCCCGGGCCUUGUACACACCGCCCGUCACACCAUGGAAGUUGGCCACGCCCGAAGUCGUUACUCCAACCCUUGUGGAGGAGGACGCCGAAGGUGGGGCUGAUGACUGG
rnacentral:rRNA from 1 species